rnacentral:tmRNA from 1 species
GGGCGUGUAAUCGGUUUCGACGGGGCGGAGAACAACACAAAAUCGCAGGUGUAAUUCACCUUACGAAUUAAUUUUAAAUAUAAACGCAAAAAAUAAUUAUAGACCUGUCUUAAUGGCAGCGUAAUUUUCUAUCUUUCUUAGUUUCUAUUGGUAAACUAAGUGGUGGUUGAUGAUAACCUUUACAUUUUAUUGUUUGUGUUGGUUGGCUAUAACCUAAAUAGUCUAUUGCGUAAGUAAUUUUUGUGAUUAAGUAUUCGUUGCGGACGUGGGUUCGAUGCCCACCACGUCCAG